GGGUCGGUGGCGCAGCGGUAGCGCGUGGGAUUGCAGAUCCUAAGGUCACCGGUUCGAACCCGGUUCGGCCCU
rnacentral:tRNA from 1 species